UGAUGCUGAAACGUUGGUAAAUACCCAAUAAAUGACUGGGAGUUUAUAUAUGGAGUGUGGGAUUCUCUUUAUUUUGAUAGUUUAUAACUCUUAUGUAUGUGCCAUCUUUUUGUGUUUUUCAGGCAGCCUGGGAAAGAACUGAAAAAACUCACUAAAGAGUCAAGACAGAGACACCAGAAAGACCCAAGAAGACUUGGACGCAGCAUCAGAGGACAGAGAGGGAUGUUCAGAACUCACUCAGUCUGGUUAGAAGAGAAUGACUCCUCAACCCAAGAGGCCCUGGAGCAGCUGUGAGAGAGCAUCAGUGUUGAAGCAUUUGGGGAAAUUUAAAGAAGGUUUCCUGGUAAAGAGGAUUGACUGUUACGUAAAGGGUCAGAGCCACUGAUUGGACAAAAUAUUAAGGAUACCUUCCUAAUAUUGAGGUACGCCUGGUCAGUUUGUCAUGGAAAGAAAGGUGUCCUUAAUGUUUUGUGUUAAUUACAUAAUAAUGAUACAUUUAUGGAUUGUUUUAUGUAGCCUAUUGUUUUCUAUUUAUUCAACCUGCCAUCUACCCACCUGGGGAUUGAGGGUUAUGAGAGAACCCCCACAUCACUAGCUUCUCUUUAUUCAAC
rnacentral:lncRNA from 1 species